rnacentral:rRNA from 1 species
GAUGAACGCUGGCGGCGUGCUUAACACAUGCAAGUCGAACGGAAAGGCCCUGCUUUUGUGGGGUGCUCGAGUGGCGAACGGGUGAGUAACACGUGAGUAACCUGCCCUUGACUUUGGGAUAACUUCAGGAAACUGGGGCUAAUACCGGAUAGGAGCUCCUGCUGCAUGGUGGGGGUUGGAAAGUUUCGGCGGUUAGGGAUGGACUCGCGGCUUAUCAGCUUGUUGGUGGGGUAGUGGCUUACCAAGGCUUUGACGGGUAGCCGGCCUGAGAGGGUGACCGGCCACAUUGGGACUGAGAUACGGCCCAGACUCCUACGGGAGGCAGCAGUGGGGAAUAUUGCACAAUGGGCGGAAGCCUGAUGCAGCAACGCCGCGUGCGGGAUGACGGCCUUCGGGUUGUAAACCGCUUUCGCCUGUGACGAAGCGUGAGUGACGGUAAUGGGUAAAGAAGCACCGGCUAACUACGUG